rnacentral:rRNA from 1 species
CCCAAGAGAUCGGGAUAACACCUGGAAACAGAUGCUAAUACCGGAUAACAACAGAUGAUGCCUAUCAACUGUUUAAAAGAUGGUUCUGCUAUCACUCUUGGAUGGACCUGCGGUGCAUUAGCUAGUUGGUAGGGUAACGGCCUACCAAGGCGAUGAUGCAUAGCCGAGUUGAGAGACUGAUCGGCCACAUUGGGACUGAGACACGGCCCAA